ACUGUUUACCUAUGAUACAGCUCCAGAGUGGGCAGGGCGCUCGGUUCUCCGCCCACCGGACCCGUUUCUGGGACAUGUACCGAGCCGCUCGACCGCUGUCACACUCACGUUGUACCCGGAGAGCACCGAUGUUUUCCUGCAGAGCGGCCUGGCAGCGGUGCGGGCUCUUGGCCCGGAGAGCGGCCCACAGGCUGCCCCAGGAGGCUGUGCAGCAGCGACUGAUGUCCUCGGUUCCUGGAGGGUCUGGAGAGAACGUGCUAUACACGGUGCUGUGUGGGGGAGCCCUGGUCGGGGCGCUGUCGUAUGCCUAUGUCACUGUGACUUCGGACCGUGACAGGUACAAUGAGCGUCUUGCAGAAAUUCAAGCCAGACCCAAGACCCAAUGGGUACCAAAGUCCUGGCCACCCAAAGCCAGAGAUGACAAUGAGGGUGGAGAUGAAGCAGGUGUGGAGGAGGCUGCUGCUGAGGCUGAGGCUGUAGUACAGGAAGCUGCUGAGGUGGUCGCUGAAGCUGCUGAGGUGGUCGCUGAAGCUGCUGAGGUGGUCGCUGAGGUGGCACAGGAAGUGGAAGCAGUUGCACAAGACGUGGCUGAAGGUGUUGAAGAAUCUGCAGAAGCAGUUGAGGAAUCAGCAAAAGUUGCUGCUCAAGAGCCAGAAGGCAAUGUGAUGCGGACUGCCGAUUCUGCAGUAGAAGUAAUGAAGAUAGCUGAAGUAAAGGAAGAGCUCCCAACAGCAGAGGAAAAGCCCAUAGAAGACAUGACUCCAGAUAUUCCUAAUGUUCCAGCAGCAGUAGAAACUACUCUAGAGGCUACACAAGUGGAAGUUCUUUUAAAGGUCCCUGUUCAAGUGGCUGAGGAUGGUUCACCAUUGGUUGUUGAGGAGGCACAAGUAGAUGUAGUAUCAGAAGAGCUACCUGUGCAAGUAGACACAAUUAAACCUUUUGAGGAAGCUCCUGCAGCAGUAGGGAUAGCCAUUUUACAGGAGACCCCUGCAUUCAUAAAAGAUGUAUCAGCUGCUGAGGACACACCUGUGUUAGUGGAGGUUGCAUCAGUUGUUGAGACUAUGGCACCUGUGGAGGUUGCAUCAGUUGUUGAGGAGAUCCCUGCACCAGUGGAGGUUGUAUUAGUAGUUGAGGAAACUCCUGCACCAGUGGAGAUUGUACCAGUUGUUGAGGAGAUCCCCGCACCAGUGGAGGUUGUAUUAGUAGUUGAGGAGAUCCUCGCACCAGUAGAGAUUGUACCAGUUGUUGAGGAGAUCCCCGCACCAGUGGAGAUUGUACCAGUUGUUGAGAUCCCUGCACCAGUGGAGGAUGUAUUAGUAGCUGAGGAAACUCCUGCACCAGUGGAGGUUGUACCAGUUGUUGAGGAUACUCCUGGACCAGUAGAGGUUGUACCAGUUGUUGAGGAUACUCCUGGACCAGUAGAGGUUGUACCAGUUGUUGAGGAGGCUCCUACACCAGUGGAGGUUGAACCAGUUGUUGAGACUCCUGGACCAGUAGAGGUUUCCCCCAUUGCUGUGGUGGCCAUGCCACUAAUAGAAGAAACCACAGGACCACUGGUUGCAGGGAUUGUGGCACAAGACAAGUUUGAUUCUGCUAAAGUUGAGGAACAAGUUAAAGUCGAGUUUGUAGCGGUCUCUUCUGUUGCCAGCAUUUCAGACCAAGCAGAUGCUUGUACUUUGAAGACCCAGUCAGAAGAUGCCCACAAAGAGUACAUUGUUGUUGUUCUGGAAGGAACACCUAAAGAGGAAAAAAGGCCCAAGGUUCUGGGAGUUGGUCCCUUGACUGGUAGAAUCAUCCCAGCCCAAGAAGAUGCCCCUGCCUCUGAGGUACAGGACCAGACUUUUCAGAUCUCAAAGUAGUUUAAGGUGUAGAAUACAUGGCAGCAUAAUGUUUUUCCAGUGUAGUUCCAGUUUUCAAAAAGGCCGUUAAAAAGCUCAAGAAAGUAUUAAAUCCAGCCUUUUCUUUCAUACGAGUGUAUUGUGGGCUGCAGAAAAACUGUCUAACGUGGCUUUUGAAACUUUUGCUACUCAGGUUAAGCGACACCUUAUUAAGAUGCAAAUGCAGUAGUCACAACAAAGUAAGCGUCUCAUGAAUGAUGACUGUCCUCCAGUACAAGAGGAUGUGCCUUUCUUCAAUACUUCCAUUCUGUAACUUUGACAUGCAAAAGGAGUCUUGGUUAGCUUUAUUGUGUUUAGUACGACUGUUUUACUGAGCCAUGAUUAGAACAAAGAGGCUGUGACCCAAAAGUCCCAGGUGAGUCCAGUAAGAUGUCUGCCUCUCUUUUUGUGUAGAGGGACAUAGAACUGCAGUCAGUUUACAGCUUUUGAUAAAACUGAGCCAGUCUGUUAACUUUAUUUUUACUGUUACAGUUUACGAUCUCAAAGAUCACUCCAGUGAAACAGUUGAAAUCAUCAGAUUUUAGACCAAAUCAAACUGCCCAGUCUGGUGUUGGCUAGCGUGUUACCAGUCACCAGCAGUUAGUCAAACUAACUAACCUCAGGUUUUCCUCUGUUGCUCCUAGUGUGCUGGAACGCUUGAUGUACCUAAUCUUUUUACAUGUAAACCAGGAGUGGGGAACCCUGGUCCUCGAGGGCCGGUGUCUUGCAUGUCUUUGCUCCAACACUUCUGAUUCAGUGGUUUAUUCACCUGUUCUGCAGCUCAUUAACCUCUGCAGAAGCCUGUUAAUCACCUGCUGAUUGAAAUCAGGUGUGAUGAUGCAGGGUUGAAACUAAAAUAUGCUGGAUAGCGGCCCUCGAUGGACCAGGGUUCCCCACCCCUGAUGUAAACACUUGUAGCAUGCUGGAUAAAGAGCCCAUGAACUUAUCUUUCUACCUCAGCCUUUCGAAGUUGUCAACCCUUAAAGAUUUUCAAAUACGAGUGUCCUACGCUACUCUACUGGUUACGUUUGCUGGCUGACCAAGACCAGUAAAACUUAUCUAAGGGUUCUGUUCUUGCAUUGAGAGUACCCGUGCUGAAAAUACACUUUAGAGACGAUCAUUGAGUUAAAAGUGCUAAACUCCUCCUGCUCCAUCCCUGUUUUGGUCUACACCCUUCAUUUUCCAUAAGCUAUUGAUCUGGAUAUUCCGGUUUUUCCGUGUCUUUGUACUCCUGCUAACUCCGUUUAAAACUGUUGUAGAACAACGUCUGUACCAGCUUGGUGAUAUUAAGAUGUUCAUUUUCCAGACAGUGUUAACACUGAAAUAGUUUCUAGUUCUGUUUCCAUAUGCAAUGUUACUGACUAAAGAACAACCUGGUGAGGGACAUUUAUCUAUAUGUGAUUGUUGUAAUUUGUAUUGGAAAGGUAAGGGAAAGGCUUGGCAUCUCAAAGAUGAACUAACGUAGCAUCAUUAAAGGCAUGCAAAUGGUUUGUGAAGAGGACUGGAACUAGAAGGACAACCCUUCCAUGUCAAUGCAAUACACCCAGAGGUCGGGCAUUUAUUAUAAUAGUCAAUGCAAUCGACAAUGACUAAAGGUUUAGGUUUUGAAAUCGUUGAAUAUCCUACUCGGCGCUGGCUUGAAUCAGCGUUCAGAUGGGCUUGCUUAUCUCCAAAGUCAUUCUCGGGCUGGAACGUGUACGGUUAGGUCUGAUAUUCUUUCUGCUCGUCUGAAUUGUGUUCCAGGUAAGAAAAGUCCGAUAGAUUAGCAGAGGCUACAUCUGACUCUGAUGAAACGCCACCUGCCGUAAUAUAAAUACACAAAAACCAGUGUUGUGGAUUGUUUACUAUAGUUUCUUCACUAAGGAGAUUCCCUCUGGUGAUGCAAGUGGCGAGGUAGUGUUAAGACCAGGAACAGUAUUUUAUUUGUUUUGCUGUGCUAUUUAAAACAUAUUUAAUGCAAAAUUCUACCAUGGAAAUCCAAACAUACUUUCUUAAAUGUUUUACUCAUGCUCACAGGAAAUAUACCUCUGGCCAGUAGCUUUAAAACUGCACGUUUAGGUGUAGUUCUUUGACAUGUUGUGGUAAAAAUAUCUUUGAUUGGGGUAAUUAGUUGGUGGUAUCGUUGUUUUCUGUCCUUUCAUGUUUGUUUUCUUUUCCUCUAGCUGUCAGGUGUGUUUAUUGAUGUGUACUUACAAAUGCUUUCAGCACAAACAGGAGUUACAGACAUGUGUUUGUGACUUUCUCUUCUUUCAAACUUUCCACCUGCCUGUAACUCUUCUGUUUUAAAAGCUCACGUGGAAUCGUUGAGGGUGUAAACGAGUUGAGAUUUGGACAUUACACUGGGCUCAUAGGCUGGUGUUGGUCCUAGCACAUUAUUGGAAGCUAGUAAUUUAGUAAAAGAUCAAUACUGUGGCACAUUUUGUUCUGCAAAAUAAAGAGGAAUUAAAUCUGAA